AGUGAACGCUGGCGGUAGGCCUAACACAUGCAAGUCGAACGGCAGCACAGAGGAGCUUGCUCCUUGGGUGGCGAGUGGCGGACGGGUGAGGAAUACAUCGGAAUCUACUCUGUCGUGGGGGAUAACGUAGGGAAACUUACGCUAAUACCGCAUACGACCUACGGGUGAAAGCAGGGGACCCUCGGGCCUUGCGCGAUUGAAUGAGCCGAUGUCGGAUUAGCUAGUUGGCGGGGUAAAGGCCCACCAAGGCGACGAUCCGUAGCUGGUCUGAGAGGAUGAGCAGCCACACGGGAACUGAGACACGGUCCAGACUCCUACGGGAGGCAGCAGUGGGGAAUGUUGGACAAUGGGCGCAAGCCUGAUCCAGCCAUACCGCGUGGGUGAAGAAGGCCUUCGGGUUGUAAAGCCCUUUUGUUGGGAAAGAAAUCCAGCUGGCUAAUACCCGGUUGGGAUGACGGUACCCAAAGAAUAAGCACCGGCUAACUUCGUGCCAGCAGCCGCAGUAA
rnacentral:rRNA from 1 species